GGAGAGGUGGGUGAGUGGCUGAAACCAACGGUUUGCUAAAUCGUCAAGGGGCGAAAGUUCCUUCGCGGGUUCGAAUCCCGCCCUCUCCGCCA
rnacentral:tRNA from 1 species